AAUAAAAGCAGCAGAACGUAGGCAUCAUGGACUUAGAAGUUCUUGAAAAUCUUAGCAAGAGUCAGAAGCGUGAAAGCACUUAGAAAAAAUUAGGGAUUUGAAAUUAGACAGGCAGCAGACAGUCGCACACAAGUGCUAAGAAACCCCCAAAGUCUAGGGUUUUCCUCACAUUUCAAAUGCAAAUAAGAGAGCAUAGGGAAUCAGGAAAACAUCUCUUAGAACAGAAUCAUGGGUAAAACACUCAAGAGUCACAGCAAAGUAAAAGAAAUCAUAGUAGAGCAAGUAAAACAGAAAAUCGAAGAAACCCUACGUUUUAAGAAGAUGAACAGUUCGAAAAUAAAAUCGAAAAAAUGUGGAAAACACUUAGAAUUCCUACAAAAUAAAAUGGAUCUAACGUAGAUCUUAAAGAGAAACAAAGAAGAAAAACCUCGGAGACUUAGGGUUUCAGAGAAAACCCUAGAAAAAUGAUCUGGAACAGACUGGUCCUGAGUCGAAGAUGGACUCGGAAGACUAAGAUUCGCUGGAGGGAGGCUGGAAAUGGUCAUUGAACUCAAGUCAGAGGACCUCUGGACCUGGGGUCUUCAAGAUCCGGCUCCAGAUCUAUGAAUAAAGAGAGGAUAAGGGGUGAGUAGGUUGCACGGGUCUUGGGGGGCCAUGAUUUUCGGUGAAACAAGGUCGAAAGUUGGCCGGAGAAGGCUACAGUUUUGGGGGUGGUUGAGAGAAUUUGGGUGGCAAAGGGGAUUCAAAG
rnacentral:lncRNA from 1 species